rnacentral:rRNA from 1 species
CCUACGGGCGGCAGCAGUGAGGAAUAUUGGUCAAUGGGCGCUAGCCUGAACCAGCCAAGUAGCGUGAAGGAUGACUGCCCUAUGGGUUGUAAACUUCUUUUAUAUGGGAAUAAAGUGCAGUAUGUAUACUGCUUUGCAUGUACCUUAUGAAUAAGGAUCGGCUAACUCCGUGCCAGCAGCCGCGGUAAUACGGAGGAUCCGAGCGUUAUCCGGAUUUAUUGGGUUUAAAGGGUGCGUAGGUUGUUUUAUAAGUUAGCGGUGAAAUACCGAUGCUCAACAUCGGGGCUGCCGCUGAUACUGUAGGACUAGAGAUCGGAUGCAGCAGGCGGAAUGUGUAGUGUAGCGGUGAAAUGCAUAGAUAUUACACAGAACACCGAUUGCGAAGGCAGCUUGCUAGGCCGGAUCUGACACUGAUGCACGAAAGCGUGGGGAUCGAACAGGAUUAGAUACCCGAGUAGUC